CUUCCGCGUUCUAUGUAGUCCUGCCCCAGUGCUUCCGGUAUGGUUAAACCAUGGCGACGUUCUACACUCGCUGCCUACAAGAGCUCCCAAAAUUGAACAUCACUGAUGUUCAUCGGAUUUGCAGAGUGACGACUACCCCAGCCAGCAAAUUAGAUAAAGGAUUUAAGUUAUAUGCUGCAUCAUAUAUACACAACUACCAAGUGUCCAAUAAAGACAGGUUGUCAGGGGAGGUCGGUGUGAGAGCCCUGUGCUACAGGUCAAUGAGGAAGAGUGAGGCACCACACAGACUAAGUAUUAAGCUUCUGGAUUCAUCGCCGGUGGUACUGACACAUAGCCAGUGCUCCUGUGUGGCAGGCGCUGUUAUGUGCAAUCACACUGUGGCACUGCUCUUCCAAACAGCACACUACUCACAACUCAGAGUGCCGGUUGUCCCCCCUGUGCAUAGCUGGACGGAAUCUGAACAGCAAUGGCACAAGCCACGGACAGUGGGUGUGAAGCCAGGACCCAUCAACUCCAUGAUCUUCACUAAGCCGGUACCAAAUAGGAUGGCCCAGACUGGAGUACGGAGUGGCUUCUACAGAGGCAUGGUGGGUUCGUUACCAGAUCCUUGCUUGUUCAGAAUAACGGAGGCAUAUGCAAAAUUUAAUAUUGAGGACAGGCCACUUGUGACCACAAUGAACAUGAGACCUGACAAGCCCCUUGUGGAAAGUGCUUUUGGGCUGGUGCAGGAGGGCAGUGUUCUGUCAUAUCAGCAGCCGGUUUUGACAACCCGGUACAUCACACUACACCGUGAUGCACCACCAACACCGCACUUGCCUCUGGAGGGAGUCUCCACGUCUAUGGACAGGUCUUCUGCAGCUGAUGCAGAUAUGUCCAAUGCAGACGGCUCAGGGACUGAGCAGUAGUCAUGAUCUCUUGUAGUGCUCUUCUUGAUCGUCAGGAGGAACUAGUUCCGGGCGUCGCUCCGUUCUCUCCCAAACACUUUAUAGCCAUUCCACUCAAAAAGUGUUGGUACAGCACCUUUAAUAAGCCGCCUUCGACCAUCAAGGGUUGUCGGCUCUAUGAGUUGAUCACUGGCAAAGUGUCUGCUGCAGACCCUGGUGUGAGAGGUAAUCGUGAAAUGAUCCCGGCGUAUGUUUACCAGCCAUUGUCUUCUCAAGUCGGAAUGGGUCGGAAAGCCAUGAAAACUUUGUAUGCCGUUACAUUUGGCUGAAGCCGAACAAAGUGGGACACAGCAAUGCUCGGAGUAUUUCUUCUCCUGUUUUUGAAAAUGUUCUGUUUUAAAUACUUUCCUUUUUAUACUCAUUCUGAAGUGACAUUAGCGUAGCUACCGAUAGAUAAACAAACAUACCGGAAACGCCCAAGCGGUAGUAUUUGGAAACGGAAAUACGUGACAUGCCUUAGUGCAAGUAGUCCAUUGCACUGGGAGACACUUAAAAGAAGUGGAGGAUCUAUCGGUUUUGUGAGGAAAGAAAAGAUGAACGGUAAGUGUGUUAGCCUAACUAUUAGCCUAAAAAUCCGUCAUCAGUAUUAUAUGAAUCAUGAUAAAGCACUGAAUCUUUUAUGUUUUCUCAUCAUUUUCUAUGUCAUUGAUUUUGUUCUUACUAUUCCAGAUUACUUUUAAUAUAAUUAUUUGUAAGACCUGAAAACGAUAGAUGAAAGAAAAUGUGCAUUAAUUUACGUCACAUUCUUAAGAGAAAACAUUAUAUGUAUUUACGUCAUCAUCGUAAUAUUUGCCAAAACUUUUGCGUCAUUCAUAUGAUGCAGAGUAACAGUCAUUCUGCCAGCAGCAUUGAAAAACAAAAGCAGAAACCUUUCAAC